rnacentral:rRNA from 1 species
UACGUAGGGUGCAAGCGUUGUCCGGAAUUAUUGGGCGUAAAAGAGCUCGUAGGCGGUUUGUUGCGUCGGCUGUCGAAAUCCCGGAGGCUUCAACCUCGGGUCUGCAGUCGAUACGAGCAAACUAGAGUGUUGCAAGGGGAGACUGGAAUUCCUGGUGUAGCGGUGAAAUGCGCAGAUAGUCAGGAGGAACACCGGUGGCGAAGGCGGGUCUCUGGGGCA